rnacentral:rRNA from 1 species
UUAGAGGAAGUAAAAGUCGUAACAAGGUUUCCGUAGGUGAACCUGCGGAAGGAUCAUUAUCGAUACGUUCAUGUGAGGAAUUCGACCGUCGCUGGCUCAAGCCUUGGGCAUGUGCACGUCUUUCCUUGCAUUUUCAUACACACACACACCUGUGCACCCAUGGUAGAUCCCUGAUCUAUGUCUUUCAUUACAUACCACAUCAUGUCUAUAGAAUGUGUUGGCAAUAAUGGAAAUGAUAUAUACAACUUUCAGCAACGGAUCUCUUGGCUCUCGCAUCGAUGAAGAACGCAGCGAAUUGCGAUAAGUAAUGUGAAUUGCAGAUUUUCAGUGAAUCAUCGAAUCUUUGAACGCACCUUGCGCUCCUUGGUAUUCCGAGGAGCAUGCCUGUUUGAGUGUCAUCAUGAAUCUCAACCAUGUCUUCAUGGCUUGGCUUGGAGGGUUGGGGGUUUGCUGGCCUUUGCCAGCUCUCCUGAAAUAUAUUAGUGACUGGGUUGCACGGCCUUUGACGUGAUAAUGAUCGUCGUGGUCAGUCAGACCCAGUAGCUACCAUACAUGUUUGGCGACUUGACCUCAAAUCAGGUAGGACUACCCGCUGAACUUAAGCAUAUCAAUAAGCGGAGGAA